UUGUCUUGGGGAAAGCACUACCAUCCGAAGAUUGAAUUUGGCACGCUCCGGAUAUCUUCCUGCACUGCUGCGGGCGGCCGCUGCCGCGAGGACCGUCCCGGCCACCGCGCCGGAGAGGGCGGCAGCGGGGCUGGAGGGCGACGAGAUCGCCGCCAGGAGGAGAGGGGCGAGGAGCGCGGAUGCCACCGCGUAGCGCUUGGACCACCGGUGUGCCGCGAUGUCCGGGAUCGUGAGGUGACACGGCAGGUACAGCAGCCACUGCAGCGCGUGGAGGGCGCGACGCGCAAGGCUGCUCCUCCCCCGCCGCGGCGGUGCGGCGGCCUCGGCGUUCUUGGACGAGAUGGGAAGCGCGGGAGGUUCGUCGAGGUCCUCGGCGAGGAGAGGGGCGGCGAGGUCGGGAUCGGGACCCGCGGCCGCGACUUCGUCGACGACGGGCUUCGUCGUGCCGUCCUCCGCGUAGCAGUGGGACGUCCAGACGAGGAGGACGUACGCGGCGUAGAGGGAGAGGAAGGAGGCGGCGACCCAGACGGUGACGGAACCGAUGAGCAGCACGGCGAGGAGGUAGCAGAACGCGACGAGGAGGAAGCAGACGUCGCACACGAACCCGGUGCGCUCGAUCUCGACGAGGCCUCCUCGGGUCCCGGACGACGGGGCCUCCUAGGGUACUCGCACGGUUGGACGACCGGGUGGGGCGGGGCGAUGCGUGGCGUGGGGGAGAGAGUGCGCGCAUCCGACAGGAGAGACUCUAGAGCGUAUUGGGCGGUUGAGAUCGUCAGGAGGCAGAACAAAGGAGAGGCAGGCUACCCUUAG
rnacentral:misc_RNA from 1 species